ensembl:lncRNA
GCCGGAUCAGAAGACUACGUUCGCUCAGGAGUCAGGAUUGCAGCAGGAGAAAGAACACAACAACAACUUCUGGAAAAGAAAACUCAACAGAAAGUAAACAACAAAAAUGCACAGGUGCUGGCUCUUGUAACCUGGGUUACAUCCUCCCUCACGGAAUAUAUGCACGUCCCUGUGCAUUUACACAUCGAUGAUAGGGGGAACCACAGACUCUUCAAAGGAGCACUCGACUGCCUUACUUAAGCCUUGCAAUAAGGACUGAAACACUGUGGUGCUGGCUCUUGUAACCUGGGUUACAUCCUCCCUCACGGAAUAUAUGCACGUCCCUGUGCAUUUACACAUCGAUGAUAGGGGGAACCACAGACUCUUCAAAGGAGCACUCGACUGCCUUACUUAAGCCUUGCAAUAAGGACUGAAACACUGUGACUCUUGUUGCAACCAAGGCUCCUGGCUGGCUCGCCAAAUUUUCCCUUGUAACACCCGCGAAGAAUGCACGGAAG